AUUUUUAUAGCUUAUAAAGAGCAUUACACUGAAGAUGUAAAGGAAGUUAGAACUUAAAAGUA
rnacentral:tRNA from 2 species